CAAUACCCCUUGCAGAGCAUAGGGAUCACCCAGGCUAAAAGGAUUGAGGUGUUUCCAGAAGCAUGCAGACAUUUCUGUGAUGGCUGCUGUGCCUUCUGGGAGAUUUGAGUCCAGUGGAUGAUGCCCUGCUGCGUUGCUUCAGCCCAAGAUGCCUGCCAGAAGUCAGCCCACUCGUGGCAAGAUCAAAGAAGAGCUGCCACUGAUUCUUAAGUCUGCAUGGCUACAGACUAGAGCAGGAAGGAUCUCAGAGCGACUUUGGAUCACAAGCCAAGUAGAUGUGAACGAUGUCAGCCUGCUGUGAAGAGGAGAAAGUCCACCCUGUGAUGAGUAAACAACAAAGACAUGAAAUUAUGCUAAAGUGAAAGCUGUUUCAUGUCCAGUGUCUGGCACUGUGCUUCAUGAAAGUCAUCGAUCACUUGGAGAGGAUGAAGGGAAGUUUUUAGGUCAAAAAACGUGACCUAAACACAUAGCCUAGGAAGAAAAAAGGCAAAAAUUUGGGUUACUUACUCUAAGGGAGAGCAGAUUGAUGGAGGACUGGGACAUGAUAACAGUUUUCAAGUGGAAAGA